UCUGACGCAGCACGAGCUCUCUCUUCUCCUCCGAUUUGGGUUUCAAGCAUAGUUGAGCUAUUGGAAAAAAGUGCUUGAAGAGAGGCGUAAAAUCAACUGGGUGCUUGCAAAAACCUUGUGGCUAGAGCUUGUCUAGACCGUUGACUGGUGGGCAGGAGUAAAGGUUAUUGCUGGUGUCACUGGGAUAAAACAG